rnacentral:rRNA from 1 species
CCUACGGGAGGCAGCAGUGGGGAAUAUUGGACAAUGGGCGAAAGCCUGAUCCAGCAAUGCCGCGUGAGUGAUGAAGGCCUUAGGGUUGUAAAGCUCUUUUACCAGGGAUGAUAAUGACAGUACCUGGAGAAUAAGCUCCGGCUAACUCCGUGCCAGCAGCCGCGGUAAUACGGAGGGAGCUAGCGUUGUUCGGAAUUACUGGGCGUAAAGCGUACGUAGGCGGUUAUUCAAGUCAGAGGUGAAAGCCUGGAGCUCAACUCCAGAACUGCCUUUGAAACUAGAUAGCUAGAAUCACGGAGAGGUUAGUGGAAUUCCGAGUGUAGAGGUGAAAUUCGUAGAUAUUCGGAAGAACACCAGUGGCGAAGGCGACUAACUGGACGUGUAUUGACGCUGAGGUACGAAAGCGUGGGGAGCAAACAGGAUUAGAUACCCUGGUAGUCCACGCCGUAAACGAUGAUAACUAGCUGUUCGGUCUCUACGAGACUGAGUGGCGCAGCUAACGCAUUAAGUUAUCCGCCUGGGGAGACGGUCGCAAGAUUAAAACGUCAAAUGAAUUGACGG